rnacentral:rRNA from 1 species
UACGAAGGGGGCUAGCGUUGCUCGGAAUCACUGGGCGUAAAGCGCACGUAGGCGGAUUGUUAAGUCAGGGGUGAAAUCCUGGAGCUCAACUCCAGAACUGCCUUUGAUACUGGAUGGCUUGAGUGUGGGAGAGGGAUGCGGAAUUCCAGGUGUAGCGGUGAAAUGCGUAGAUAUCUGGAGGAACACCGGUGGCGAAGGCGGCAUCCUGGACCAUUACUGACACUGAAUAGCGAAAGCCAGGGGAGCAAACGGG